GAUGAACGCUGGCGGCGUGCCUAAUACAUGCAAGUCGAGCGAACGGACGAGAAGCUUGCUUCUCUGACGUUAGCGGCGGACGGGUGAGUAACACGUGGAUAACCUACCUAUAAGACUGGGAUAACUUCGGGAAACCGGAGCUAAUACCGGAUAAUAUUUUGAACCGCAUGGUUCAAUAGUGAAAGACGGUCUUGCUGUCACUUAUAGAUGGAUCCGCGCUGCAUUAGCUAGUUGGUAAGGUAACGGCUUACCAAGGCAACGAUGCAUAGCCGACCUGAGAGGGUGAUCGGCCACACUGGAACUGAGACACGGUCCAGACUCCUACGGGAGGCAGCAGUAGGGAAUCUUCCGCAAUGGGCGAAAGCCUGACGGAGCAACGCCGCGUGAGUGAUGAAGGUCUUCGGAUCGUAAAACUCUGUUAUUAGGGAAGAACAAAUGUGUAAGUAACUGUGCACGUCUUGACGGUACCUAAUCAGAAAGCCACGGCUAACUACGUG
rnacentral:rRNA from 1 species